UACGUAGGUGGCAAGCGUUGUCCGGAUUUAUUGGGCGUAAAGCGCGCGCAGGUGGUGCGGUAAGUCUGCCGUGAAAUCUCCCGGCUCAACUGGGAGGGUGCGGUGGAGACUGCCGGACUAGAGGUGCCUAGAGGUCGGUGGAAUUCCCGGUGUAGUGGUGAAAUGCGUAGAGAUCGGGAGGAACACCAGUGGCGAAGGCGGCCGGCUGGGGGUGACCUGACGCUGAGGCGCGAAAGCGUGGGGAGCGAACCGG
rnacentral:rRNA from 1 species